rfam:TPA: Bos taurus chromosome 19, whole genome shotgun sequence.
CCCCCACUGGUUUAGAUGGUAAAAAAUCUGCCUGCAAUGCAGGAGACCCUGGUUUGAUCCCUGGGUCGGGAA